AUGCCAUGAUGAGGGCACUUUUAUAGUAACUCCUUGAAUUGCUCCCAUGCCCCAUAUAAAGAUUCUUCAUCAAGUUCCUGAAAUAAAGUGAUUUCGUUCUGGAUCUU
rfam:Gossypium arboreum cultivar AKA8401 contig_100822_1, whole genome shotgun sequence.